AUACUUACCUGACAGGGUGGUUUUCCUGGGGCAAGGCUUACCCACACACUCUGGAUGUGCUGACCCUUGAGAUUUCCCCCAGUUGGGGAAACUUGACUGCACAAUUUAUGGUAGCAGGCGACUGCAUUCACAGUCUCCCC
rnacentral:snRNA from 1 species